CUGCCUGCCCUGUGACUUGGAAGUUCAACGGCCGCGGUAUUUUGACCGUGCAAAGGUAGCGUAAUCACUUGUCUUUUAAAUGGAGACCAGUAUGAAUGGCAUAACGAGGGCCAAACUGUCUCCUUUUUCUAGUCAAUGAAAUUGAUCCUCCUGUGCAGAAGCAGGAAUACCCCCAUAAGACGAGAAGACCCUAUGGAGCUUUAGACACAAGACAACCCAUGUUAAAAAACUAAAUUAAUAGAAAAAACAAAGUGGCAUUUGUCCUUUUGUCUUUGGUUGGGGCGACCAUGGAGUAGCAAAAAACCCCCAUGUGGAACAGGGCCUACCCCCUUAAAACCAGAGCCACAGCUCUCACCAACAGAACAUCUGACCAACAAGAUCCGGCAAAGCCGAUCAACGGACCUAGUUACCCUAGGGAUAACAGCGCAAUCCCCUUUUAGAGCCCAUAUCGACAAGGGGGUUUACGACCUCGAUGUUGGAUCAGGACAUCCUAAUGGUGCAGCCGCUAUUAAGGGUUCGUUUGUUCAACGAUUAAAGUCCUACGUGAU
rnacentral:rRNA from 1 species